GUGUCAGCCGCCGCGGUAAUACAGAGGGUGCAAGCGUUAAUCAGAAUGACUGGGCGUAAAGGGCGUGUAGGUGGUUGACUAGGUUUGAUGUGAAAUCCCCGGGCUUAACCUGGGAAUUGCGUCGAAAACGGGUUGACUUGAGUGAGAUAGAGGGUUGUGGAAUUUCCGGUGUAGCGGUGAAAUGCGUAGAUAUCGGAAAGAACAUCAGUGGCGAAGGCGACAACCUGGAUCUUAACUGACACUGAGGCGCGAAGGCGUGGGGAGCAAACAGGAUUAGAAACCCGAGUAGUCC
rnacentral:rRNA from 1 species